UUGAACGUGACCUGACUAUUGUUUACACCCUUGACCUCAGGAGAUAAUUACUGCACUGUGUUCCUACAAAAGAGGAUAACGUGUAAGUCAGGCCGCCCUGAGUGAGAAAUCACAACUCCAAAACAUCUGAGAAGCACCUUGUGGAAAUGCUUUUGGUUCUACAUUAUUGAUGGCAUAAUAAAAACACAAGAACAGGGCUAAAUGUCUGUCUGACGGGGCUCAACUGUGGAGCAGCACAGGAGACACCACAGGCCAAGCCGUGCAACGUCAGCAGGAAAUAUUGGAGAAGAGCAGCACUAAACUAUUUGACCCUCAAACAAAUAAAUUUGUGUUUCUGUAAAUAUUUAGAAAAUGAAUCCUCUGACCACUCAGAUUGCCAAAAGCCUGUUGGUUUAAUGCAAAUAUUGCUAGUUUGUUGUCUAGGACUUUUUCUAUUCAAGAAUGUGUUUUUUAGGACUGUUGUUUUAGUAAUGUUGUUUGAUAUUUGCUUACACUUUUGAGAGCCCUAGUGUGUGGUGAAUUACCGUCUCUGUAAGAGUAACUUGGAUUUAAUGCUCCUGUAGUUCUAUAAACUUUCAGAUUGGUAUGCAUCGGUACAGUACUAAAAGUUCUGCACAGAAACUGUUAAGUACAAAUCAGUCCUAUUACUCCCUAGACAUAAAAAGUCUUGAAAGCGUUCUUUUCUUCCAAUUGCAGACAAACAAUUUUAAGGAAAUGCAUCCUGUUAAAAAAAAAGGCGCCUUCAAAGCCACACACACAAAAAAAAGUCACCGUAUUCUGGAGCAUUUUCAGAAACCACCAUUCCAGUCCAAAGAUUUGUGAUGAUAGGAGCUGAAAUCCGUAACCACAAGCGAUGUGCUGGCCUGUGUCCUCCUGAAACCUGCUAGUUAACACUAAGGGACCAGACGGGACGAGGUCUGCUUUCUGUCUGUGUCAUGGAAGGAGUCCACAGCAGAGAGCUGCAGGUCGUGGCUUACACACUCAAACAGAAUACCUCUGCUGGAUACACACAAAACCUGUACCCAUUCUGCAGGGCUGUGGAGAGUUGUUGAGAGGCUUUAUUGAACUUUAAAACAUGACGGUAGCAAAUAGAGAAGGGAAAUGUGUAUCUCUAUCUAGUGAUUUUUUAAUUGUAUAGGAAAAGGGCCAACUUUGGUGAUUUGGUACCACAGGGCAACAUACAAAGCUUACUUAUUAGGGCUGGGACAAUAUGCUUUUCUCCCGAUUCCAUUUAAAUUGCGGUUCUACGAUAUUGUAGAUUUUCUCGAUUUUUAGUCUAUAUUUAUAACAGCAGUGAAACAGUUGAAUGAUUAUGAUUGUCUACUGACUAUUCCAGGAACCAUGACUCAUGAUUAUUUUGAUUUUUGAACAUAAAAAAUUAUUUAAAAAUUAUAAAACAAAAAAUUGCGACAUUUAUGUGAAUUGAUUUUUUUUCUCCCACCCCUAUUGCUUAUCAUAUCAAAGGUUUGUUUAGGUGACACGUGCAACAACAAACACAUUUGAAUAAAAUGAAGUUAUCACGAUGGCAUGCAAAUGUCUUUCUCCUUGUUUACUAAAAAUAUGAUUGUUUGUUGAGCACAAAGUGUUUAUAUUUAAAGUAAAUUUUAAAUUGCAGUAAAAGAACUUCAUAAUCGUUUUUUAUGGCCAAGUAUAUACAAGGAAUUAACCUCAGUAAACAUUGCUACUUUUACUUUCCAUUUUCUAUGAAAGUUAUAAUUUUUAAAUCUUCGAAUAUACGCACGUAUAAGAGAUAGAAAGAAAGAGAACGAAAAGAAGACAGAAAGAAUUUUAACUUAAUAUUUGCCAAUCUACCUACUGUGUCCAGGGAUUUCCAGUAAUGAAUGCAAAGUUGAGAAAAGCUCCUUUAUUUUACUCAUUUCCUGUGUAUUUUUAUCGAAAGACAAAGCUCAUCUCACAUGCAUCCAGAGGAGUGAAUUUGCAGUUUUUAAUGAUGAGGCUACAAAAGUGGUGCUGGCAAUUUAACUAGAAACCAGUUAGGCCAAAAUGAAUAAUUAUAUGAGUAUUAUUUCCUCUGCUAACAGAAAGUAGGUGUCCCUGUGGUAUAUCUGAAGGAGGGCAGGAUGCAGCCUGGUGUGUUUUAGCAGGAUGGUGCUGAUUGACAUUCAAGUUUAAAGUUUUAAAAUGUCCACUGUUUAAAAAUGAGUCUGGACCUAUUUAUUUAAAAAUCCACUCCUCCUAAAGUAAUUAAGACGUACUUGCAGCUAUCUUGACAGGCAGACAGAUUCAGAGGUAUCUCCCUCAGACAGAUCCUCGGGUUACACAUCUUCACAGGUUGAAAACAUCAGAGCUCAAUAAAAGAGGAGAAAUAAAAGACGGAGGAAUGAAAGUUCAGAGUUGAUCAGAGGUGAAGCAUUUGCUGCUGCAGAUAAGUGAGGAGCAGCAAAUUGAGUGUGCAUCACAAGGAUGGCAAGUUUUUCUAAUUCCCUCAUUUCACUUCAACCGCUUCCUUCCUCUGCUUUUGUUCUUCAGAGGAAUAUUUCUGAGAGGGAAGAGAAACUAAUCGCUUGGUUUGGGUCAUGGGCUGAAUUGUUUGCAGGAAGUUUUUCCCAUACCACAAAAUACUGCAAGAUGUUUUGCGUUGUCAUCACCUAAGGAUGGCACUCUCAAGCCUCAACGACUGAGCGUCUCUGCCAUGUGAUAUUAAUUAGCACUCGUACUUUGGCUAAUCUCACUUCAACAUAAAUGGAAUGAGUUUAGCCAAAGAUACUCCCCUAUUUGACCAAAUUUCCCAGAAGUCAUGCCAGGAAAGAAUGGCUCAUGUCUGGGUGAAGCCACUCCUGCACUGUCAACCGUGUUUGUAACGCCUCCCCCCAGCUGACAGCCCUCGCACAUGUGUAAGAUAUUUCUGCAAACUUAGCAAAUAAAGACAUUUUUGCUUUUCCUCUGAGAACGGAGGCAAGAUUAAACCUUUGGGUGAUCUCAGCAGGAUGUGGUUAGCUGUUAGCUGGCUCAGGUAUAAGUCAUUUAUCCCCAUUAUAAGCACUGAUGGUAAAACAGUGCUUUAUUCUUCCUCCACCUGUCACACAUGCCAGAUGUAGAUCUGGAGCACGCUGCAGCUUUAACUCUGACAGCAAAGGCGGAGGCAUAUAGCCCCAAGACUUGAAAACAGCAGCUAAUUGGUUGAGCUAGCUAACAUGUUUUUGGUUGCUAUCUUUUGUUUCAGAAGAGGAAGAAUUGAUUUACUGAGUGAAAAAAAACAUGACUAUGACAGCUUGUGUGUGUUUCAGUGCUGUCAGGAUGAAUUUUCAGGAUGGCGGCUAGAGUCACUGGAGCUUUUUCUCGUGCAGGAGCCUUUUGUCGCACCUUUUUAGACUGGAAACAUACUUGUACAGUUCUUAAAGACCCACUCCAAUGAAAAUCAUGUUAUUCUUGUUGUCUUUAUGUUCAAAUGGAAUUUUUGUGAUGCUACAGGACAUAUCAUGACAAAAAUAAGUGUGAAAUUAAGUAUUCCUGCAUUCUAGUUGCUGUGAAUCUCUGGCAGACCCAAACAGCAGGUUCAGAAACAGGAGAUUUCCGACAUCACAAAUCCAAGCUCCGCCCCCUGAGCCCCUCUAUGCAAGCCACACUCGGAGAAAUAGGAGGAUGAUCGUGGAACAAGUGAGUGUGUUAGCGGAUAGCAAUGCUCAUAAGAAAGCUAAUUGUGAUAUUAGUUUUCAUCAUGUCCCUAAAGACAUUAGUGUCCAAGAGCUGAAUAGCUCCUAUGUUACCUGUUUCUUCUACAACAACAGCAAUGUUAGAGUGCAAGCUAACUCGGAGAGAAGUGUGCAGAGCAGCGCUGUCUCCGCCCACCACUCAGAGGCAAAUUGCUCAUGAGCUACUGGAGCUCUGCAGAACAAAAAAAAUGACACAAGUAACGCGAUUCGAGCUAAAAACUUCAUAAUCACAAUUUAAAGACCACUGAGAACACUUGAAGAUGUAAAAAAAAAAAAAGAAAAAUUGGAAUGGGACUCGGAAUUGGAAUUGCACUAUAAUGCAAAAUGGUGACUCCAUUAUACAUGAAUGCACAAACACACAUGAGUUAUGUAUGACAGGAAACGUUCAAUGACAGAGUCUGUAUGCCACAGAAAAAGUGUUUUAGGGAAGGAGUAACUCUCAAAAAUGUUCUCAUAGACAGUCGCUGUUGUUAUUGUUUGUUUCUCUCGCUGAAAAUUAGCAAAGUGACAGUUUUAAGACCAGAUGCUUAAGCUUCCCUCUU